rnacentral:sRNA from 1 species
UCUUUUUUUCUCACUAUAU